GCAGCGGAGGUUCAGUGGUAGAAUUCUCACCUUCCGUGUGGGAGAGCCAGGUUUGAUUCCUGGCCAACACA
rnacentral:tRNA from 1 species